CAGUCGCCGCGGGAAUACGUAGGUGGCAAGCGUUAUCCGGAAUUAUUGGGCGUAAAGCGCGCGUAGGCGGUUUUUUAAGUCUGAUGUGAAAGCCCACGGCUCAACCGUGGAGGGUCAUUGGAAACUGGAAAACUUGAGUGCAGAAGAGGAAAGUGGAAUUCCAUGUGUAGCGGUGAAAUGCGCAGAGAUAUGGAGGAACACCAGUGGCGAAGGCGGCUUUCUGGUCUGCAACUGACGCUGAUGUGCGAAAGCGUGGGGAUCAAACAGGAUUAGAUACCCCGGUAGUCCCUGUCUCUUAUAC
rnacentral:rRNA from 1 species